GCUGACACUCUUUUUUCUAAUAUUACAUUGAUCUGGAAUCUUCCAUGCAUACCAGAAUGGGCCAAAUCCCAAUAGUCUCUCCCCAUGAAAUCUCGUCUGAGGGAAUAGUGCACAUUAGGCAGGGUACUUAGUUAAAUGGCUUUAGCAGGUCAUCUUUCUCCUUCCUUUUGCUGAAGAUUCCACCACAAUAGGGGAAGACUGCUCAAUCUAAUUGUAUUGAUGUAUGACACUAGAUAUGCAUACAAGUGGUUUAUUAUGCGCAUGACACUAUACGUGAGUUUGUUUUGGUGUUAUAAUUUGAAAUUCUUUGAAAUUACAAAUUAUGAUAUCGGUAAAAAUUACUUAUGAUUUUUCAGGUUAUUAAAAAUGGAGAGAUGCU
rnacentral:misc_RNA from 1 species